rnacentral:rRNA from 1 species
AUUACCGAGUUUACAACUCCCAAACCCAAUGUGAACGUUACCAAACUGUUGCCUCGGCGGGAUCUCUGCCCCGGGUGCGUCGCAGCCCCGGACCAAGGCGCCCGCCGGAGGACCAACCAAAACUCUUAUUGUAUACCCCCUCGCGGGUUUUUUUUAUAAUCUGAGCCUUCUCGGCGCCUCUCGUAGGCGUUUCGAAAAUGAAUCAAAACUUUCAACAACGGAUCUCUUGGUUCUGGCAUCGAUGAAGAACGCAGCGAAAUGCGAUAAGUAAUGUGAAUUGCAGAAUUCAGUGAAUCAUCGAAUCUUUGAACGCACAUUGCGCCCGCCAGUAUUCUGGCGGGCAUGCCUGUCCGAGCGUCAUUUCAACCCUCGAACCCCUCCGGGGGGUCGGCGUUGGGGAUCGGCCCUCCCUUAGCGGGUGGCCGUCUCCGAAAUACAGUGGCGGUCUCGCCGCAGCCUCUCCUGCGCAGUAGUUUGCACACUCGCAUCGGGAGCGCGGCGCGUCCACAGCCGUUAAACACCCAACUUCUGAAAUGUUG